rnacentral:rRNA from 1 species
UACGUAGGGUGCAAGCGUUGUCCGGAAUUAUUGGGCGUAAAGAGCUCGUAGGCGGUUUGUCGCGUCGACUGUGAAACCCCGAGGCUUAACCUCGGGCCUGCAGUCGAUACGGGCAGACUAGAGUUCGGUAGGGGAGACUGGAAUUCCUGGUGUAGCGGUGAAAUGCGCAGAUAUCAGGAGGAACACCGGUGGCGAAGGCGGGUCUCUGGGCCGAUACUGACGCUGAGGAGCGGAAGCGUGGGGAGCGAACAGG